UAGGGAAUCUUCGGCAAUGGACGGAAGUCUGACCGAGCAACGCCGCGUGAGUGAAGAAGGUUUUCGGAUCGUAAAGCUCUGUUGUAAGAGAAGAACGAGUGUGAGAGUGGAAAGUUCACACUGUGACGGUAUCUUACCAGAAAGGGACGGCUAACUACGUGCCAGCAGCCGCGGUAAUACGUAGGUCCCGAGCGUUAUCCGGAUUUAUUGGGCGUAAAGCGAGCGCAGGCGGUUAGAUAAGUCUGAAGUUAAAGGCUGUGGCUUAACCAUAGUACGCUUUGGAAACUGUUUAACUUGAGUGCAAGAGGGGAGAGUGGAAUUCCAUGUGUAGCGGUGAAAUGCGUAGAUAUAUGGAGGAACACCGGUGGCGAAAGCGGCUCUCUGGCUUGUAACUGACGCUGAGGCUCGAAAGCGUGGGGAGCAAACAGGAUUAGAUACCCUGGUAGUCCACGCCGUAACGAUGAGUGCUAGGUGUUGGGUCCUUUCCGGGACUCAGUGCCGCNNCNAACGCAUUAAGCACUCCGCCUGGGGAGUACGACCGCAAGGUUG
rnacentral:rRNA from 1 species